UGCCUAUUAAAGCUAGUUAUAGACUCGUAAAUUGAUAGGAGUUCAAGUAAAGCAAUUAAUAUAUGAUAAUAUACUGUAAAUUCAAGUGCAAUACUAUGUUUUUUUUUACAAUAUAAUAUAUGCAAGUGCAACUACUAGGUUCCUUUCAUUAGAGAUAUUCAUUCGGGCGCGUCAAACACUAAACGUGGAUAUACAUCACUCAGUUGAAGUUCGAGCUUUGAUUCGCCAUAUCGGAAAAUUUCACUCAUUCAACUAAACUCAAUUUCUAUUGGUUUAUAUAUUUACUUACAGACCUAUCCUAAAACUUUUGGUGUCUUUGAUAAA